AGAAAGUUCAGUUUCUGACUCACCCUGAUUUUGAGAAACUGUUUCUUAGGGUCAUUCCCUAAGGUUGGAAUCGCUCUCUCUCUCUCUGUUGGUUAGUGCCCUGUAAACACUGACAAUUUUCUUUCUCUUCAGUUCUUCAUUCUUGGUCUAGUGCUUCAGUUUCCAAGUCUACAUGACUAUGCUACAGUGUAAGGUUAUUUAGACGUACAAUUUCAUGAUUUCUUUCUUCUGGGAUUAUUUGCUUGACUUGUGAUUAGCUUGCCUGAUCACAGACAAUAGUAACUUUUUAACCAUUCUUACAUGAUUUCCCUUUUCCUUAAAUUUGUUGUUUCUGUAUUAGAAGCAGGAAAAAAGGGCCAACGUUUAGAAUUUGAAAAGCAGUGUUUGAAUGCACUUGUUACCUGGUAAACCAGUCAUUUACUGCUAUCUUACAAAUGACCACAGCACAUGGUAGACUUAAAGAACAAUUAUUUGCACAUUUCUCAAUUUUGUGGGUCAGAAACUGGCAGCACUCAGCUGAGAGACUCUUCUGUUUUACGGGGAUUCACAGCGUUCACUCAGAGACAGAUAGCUGGUGGGCAGGCCGGUGUCAGGGACCAAGGAUGGCAUCACUCGUGUGUCUGGCCCUUGACAGGGAUGCUGGAGGUCUGGGCUCACCUGGGAAUGGAGAUGGCAACACCUACAUGUGACCUUUCCAGCAUGGCAGUCUCAGAGUGGAUAUGGCAACAGCUGCACAUGAACUCUCCGGCAUGGCAGUCUCAGAGUGGAUAUGGCAACAGCUGCACAUGACCUCUCCGGCAUGGCAGUCUCAGAGUGGAUAUGGCAACACCUGCACACGACCUCUCCGGCAUGGCAGUCUCAGAGUGGAUAUGGCAACACCUACACACGACCUCUCCAGCAUGGCAGUCUCAGAGUGGAUAUGGCAACAGCUACACAUGACCUCACCGGCAUGGCAGUCUCAGAGUGGAUAUGGCAACAGCUACACAUGACCUCACCAGCAUGGCAGUCUCAGGUUACUGGUACUUCUUAGGUCUCAGCUGAGGACUCCAGUGCAGGUGUUGCAAGACAGCAGACGUAGCACUGCUUAUGUGUAUCCUGAAGUCCCAUGUGUAUCCUGAAGUCCCAGAAAGCUGCUUCAAGUAGAUUCCAGUGGAGAAGGGAGUCACCAAGGCUGGACAGUCAUUUAUCCAUGGCAGGACUAGCAAAAAAAUCUGCACCAUCUCUCAUCGCACACACGUGGGCGCAGUCAACAGCAGUGGAAGAGCUGGCUCAUGUGUGGCUCAGGCUGACUCCACAAUCAGAGUGAUUAUGUGGAAAUCAAUCAGAAUUUUCUUCUUAGAAGAUGUUUGUUCUGACAUAAUGACUGACUUUCCAGCUAAUUUUUAUUCAUAGGCUUCUCCUUGCACAAUGAUCUCUAUUUCUCUCAAUGUUAUUCUGUGUCUUUCUUGCUUGCCUGCACAUUCUGAAAAAAAAAGGAAAGCAAUUCCCUACAUUUUAUUUUGAUACUUAAUGUUGUUUGCUAACAUAUUCAGAACACAAUGCAACUUUAUAUAUUAGAGCACUUAUAAUAUAUAUUAGGAAAACAUCAAUUAGGUACCACCAGUUAUUUUAGACAGGUAUCUCUUAGGUAAAAUGUGGUGAAAAUAGAGGGGCAAUGAUAGAAUUCAUAUGUGAAAGAGUCAAUUGGCCAUCAUUAUGCCAAAAUUAUUUUGUGGUUCAGGGGACAUUUUAAACUUUAAUUUUUAAGAAUUAAACUUUAAUUAAAUUUAUUGUAGUUUAAAUGCAAUCACAAGGAAAGACUCUGAACUGGAAACACCAAGCCAAGCUCUUUCCUAGUUCUGGUCCCCUAUAAACCCUGAAAGUUAAUGCAAUUAUUGUAAUUUUUAAACCACCGAGUUCUCAGGGUGAUUAGUUAUGCAGCAAUAGAUAGCCUGAAAAGGACCAUUCUUUCUGGCACUGAAAAUUAAGAAGAGUGAUUAACAACAUAAGAAUGUAGUUUGUGCUGUCUGCCACAGAUUUAUGUUGUAGCUUCAGUGAUUGCUUCAAAGCACCCUUACUAAUUGCCAGCCUAUUGCUGAUACCUAGCUAAAUUAGCAUGUGUUAGUUUUGAUACCACUAUAGGCAUUUAAAGGAUAGCUGAUACAUUCUAUAUAAAAUAUAAUUAUUUUCCUAUCUUUAGUUUAUCCUAAAGUAGCAGCUAUUAUAUUCGCUUCUUGAUUAGCUUUAUACAUAACCAGAGAAAGUAAAAUAUCACAGAGUAUAUUUGAAGACAUAAAAGUCUUUGGACAAAGCUCAAGUAAUGAAUCAGGAUGCUAUUACAUCCUCCACAUGACAGUAAAUAUAUUUUAUAUUCCUAAAUUUUAAGCUUUUAACAAAAGCAAAUUUUAUACUGGACUAUUUCAAUUUCUAGGGAAAGGAAAUUAUCAUUUACUGUCUUUGAGGCUAUAAUCUAUUUAGCCAUUAUUUUUAUAUUGAUCAAUUUAUAAUAAAGGUAAGAGAAAAUACUACCACAUAUAUGUUGUUUAUAUAAUUUUAACUUUCAUAAUUAAAAUACUGGGUAUACUGCAAGAUGUCAAUAUUUAUAAUAGCUUAUAUUUGGAAACAAUUAUACUUUAUAUACUCCUAAUCCAUUGCCUUGUGUGUCAUUGAAGAAAUUGAAGUUCACAAUAAUGACUGAACAAAUGCUCAAAGCUGGUCUGUGGCAGAACCAAAAAUUUCCAUGGCACCUUUCUCUUUCCAUAUUGGGGUGAUCUGCCUAAUUUGACUUUCUGCUUAUAUGUCUAGACUCUACCCCUCAUUCCUUCUGCUAGUGUGUUGUUGAACCCUUUCUAUUAACCCACUCUCGAUUUUUCUGUUGCACAAUCAAUCUGUAGCCUGAAUGUUGAGUCCCAAAUGCAUGAGCUACCUGGCCGAGUAAUCUAACUAGAUUAGCCUGAGUAUAUCACUUUAAGGCCAAUGUAAAGUUAUGUUGUAACUACCUCAUAGUUUUGCAGAGGCAAGAAAUAGAAGUUAAGGAAGAGAAGAAGCCAAUCUUGAAUCAGUUAGAAUUUCCUUGGACAUAGAAAAUCUCUACAAGCAAAAACCCAUUUGAUUGAACAAGCAAGCUUAUGCAGUUAAAUAUAUCAAAGAUCUUGUCACAAAAAGUGUAAAGGGAAAGUAAAAUAAGGAGGGAGCAUGAAGAAGCCAGCUUAUAUUAAAGAUUCAAAGCAGGGAUAUAAGGAAAUUCAAGCCAAAAAUAAGGAAGAAUUCUUAUAAAUGCCCCAAGAAUGAAUUCGAUGUUUGGUCGAUAUUCCAACAGAUUUAGUAAUGCUAUUUUUAAAGUCAACAGGCUGCCCAUUUUUGCCUCACACUCUGACUGCAUGUAAUCUGUCAAGUACUCUGAUGAGUUCUGGAGAUGCUAAUGCAAAAAAGAUAUAAAAUCCUUACCUUGAAAAUGUAGUUCACAAUUUAGCCAUGGAGUUAUGGCAAGCAUCUUGUCUUCAAUUUUAGCCCCUCCUCCAUCCCUCUCCCAGACACCCAUUGUCCUCUUUCUCACCACAUCCACCCCCUUUUUUGUCCUGUCUUUGGUGCACUAUUUAUAAUUCUUCUCAUGUCUACCACAACUAUUUUGGGUAGUAAGAACAUCAGUAUGGAGACCCCUUAAUCCUAACUAAUAUCAACUCUAUCUGUUUGGUAUUAAUUCUUGUUUAUUGAACUUGAGGCAUUGAGUACUACAAAAAUUAUAAUACACUACUGGUGAACAUUACUUUAUUAAUGAUUAGGUUCCACUUGGAUGUUUGUCAUUCGUAUGUAGCUGUUCUCUCCUUGUAGCCUGUAAACUUUCUAUGGAUGUCACAAAAAGAGUUUUAAGGAUUUUGCUUAAAUUAAAAUUAAUACAUCAAGAAAAUACUAUGCCUCAAACAAAAAAUAAUCAGUUAAUUUAGUUUUUAGAAAUCUUUUACAAAAAACGUGAUAUUUAAUAAUCUUUAUGCAAGGAUUUUUGGGAUAUUAAAAUUGUCACAGAUUUAAUAAUACGUUUUAUUGUAUAAAAUUUUUCUUUUCUCUUCAAAGUGUUGGGAGAGUGAAUUCUCUAAGUAAAAACUGAAGAGUAAGAUGUUAUCAUUAAACAUUUCAGAAAAUGCACACUAUCGUAGACUGCGCACUGUGAAAAUGAUCAGCUAGUAGAGGUUUUGGUGAACAUAUAGUAACUUUUAUCAACAAGUAAUGUGAAUAUGUGAAAUCUAUUGCUUUUCCAAAAGAAAGAAACUUUUACACUUCUUGGUAAAGAUAAACUUUCAUGUAAGAAAAAAUAAAAACAUAAUUUUAGCAAUCCAAACCAUACUAAAAUCAUAAACACUUGACCACAUGUUUGAGUACC
rnacentral:lncRNA from 1 species